GUAGGUGAACCUGCGGAAGGAUCAUUAAUGAAACUUCAAAGUCGGCUUGUCUAUCUGUGCUGGUGGAGACACAUGUGCACGUCGACAGGUCGCAAAUCCACACACCUGUGAACCUAUGACUCUGAGUACCGCUUUGCGUGGCCCUCACCGGCCUGGUACUCGAGUACUUUUACACACUCUGAAUGUAAUGGAAUGUCUUUUUGUACAAUGUACAACUAAAACAACUUUCAACAACGGAUCUCUUGGCUCUC
rnacentral:misc_RNA from 1 species